GGCGGACGGGUGAGUAACGCGUGAGUAACCUGCCUUUCAGAGGGGGAUAACGUUCUGAAAAGAACGCUAAUACCGCAUAACAUCAAUUUAUCGCAUGAUAGGUUGAUCAAAGGAGCAAUCCGCUGGAAGAUGGACUCGCGUCCGAUUAGCCAGUUGGCGGGGUAACGGCCCACCAAAGCGACGAUCGGUAGCCGGACUGAGAGGUUGAACGGCCACAUUGGGACUGAGACACGGCCCAGACUCCUACGGGAGGCAGCAUG
rnacentral:rRNA from 1 species